CGGCAGCCGCGCGAGGAGCCCUGUGAGGCCAGCAGAGGAGGAAGGCGGACAAUAAAACCUGGCUUCGCCCAGUUCCCUUCCCUCUAAAGUUUCUUUCGUUCUGAAGCGAAUCGGUUCCGCGAGGGAGCGGCGCCGUCGCACCACAGGCUGCCUGCCGCUCGUCCUUCUCGGCGUGGCAGGGGGAACGGGGAGGGUUGCCGGCACAUCCAGAGUUGAUUUAUUCUAAAUACUUGAACCGUGUCUAAGGGGGAAACAGGGGAGUGUGGAUGCUUGGGAUCCAGUUUCUCUCGCUAUGACCAGAAGGUAUCACUGAGGGAUACCAGCGCGACGGAUGCACAUAGGAGAGAACCUGACGUACGUUUAGGUGUAGAGGCUUAAUGAAAUGUGGAAGAGCAGGUGCACAGUCCUAAUGUGCUGGUGCUUUUUUAUUUCCUCUGAUGUGUCUGUUUGCUGUGUGAGCAAAUCUUCUUGUACGUUUGAAACCUAUAGGACUGUAAAAUUGCUAAAAAGGAAGGAAAGCCAAUAUUUUACAAUAUCUUUUGUCUUAGGUACUGUGUUGUCUGCAAAUGGCAAUUCUUGUGUCUACUCUAAAGGUAAAAUUAAGGUGAAGAGAGAUUAAUAGUAGAGCGGUCCUUGCUCUGGACACGGCACUUGUGACAUGGUGGUCUUAAUUUGGAAGGAAAAAUGGAGUGCUCUCGGUCCAGUGUGAAUGCGUUGGGACCUGGGAUGGCAAGAGGGGUGCCUGCACUAGCCCUUUGCUUGGGAGCAGGAGCGUGCUGCGAGUCCCCCCGCAUCCCGCCGCUGCUGUGCUUUGGUUUGUCUCGUGGGUUGGUCCUGUGGGACACGCGCUGAAUUCCUUUUGGAUAGAACAGAGCCAGGAGAUGUUCUGCAGGAGCUCCUCUUCUGUAUUCAAACUACAAAUUGACAUUCAGCUCACGGGACGAGACCAGAGCCUGGGUGAACAGACCUCGCCCCCAGGUGUGCAGUGUCGGUGUCGGACCCCCAGCAGCAGCUGUUCUGCUCUUCCCGUGCCGCGGUUCUGUGCUGCUCUCUGGCGUAGCUCCGCUUGUGGAGCCCGCCUGAAGGCCCACCACUGGUCGGGAAGCCGGGCGGGGGCUCAGGGCUAGCACAGUCACCUGGCACGCGUCCUUCGAUGGCAAUCAUCAGGCCAUUAUUCUUUCCCUCAAAAAGGGGUAGUUUGGGUUGGCAUGAAGAGAAAAGGUUCAUUUGAUCGCUUGUAAUAUAACACACGAGCGGGUAAGAGGCACUGGUACUCUGGCUCUCAAAAGCCCUCCACAUUUUUAACCCGUUUUAUUAUUUGCAAGAGCAAUUUAGUUCCUAAUGUUAACAAUGAGUGAUUAUGAUUCUGUACUUCCGUUUACAGCAUAAAUUAGCAUUUUGUUUUCCAUUACAGCUUUUGAAUGAGGAAUUAUAAUGUAUAAUUUGCUGCAAAUAGAUGUUAUCAUCUCUUUGGUUGUGAACAACCACAUAAACUUGAGCAAAUGAUAAAAAUGGAAUCAAUUACUUCUCAAAUGGAAAUAGUUUACAAACCUUCACAUACAAAAUGACAAUGGAAGCUGGUUAUUGUAACAAAUAAUUACUUUUUUUUUAAAACAACAUUUAUUGAAUUCCAUUGACAAUUUAGUAAUUGUUUAUAGAGGAUUUUACUGUCCCCCCUCAAAAUACAUGCCACAUAAUAUCUGCGUUUUUUAAACUACAGAUUGCCUACAUAGCCCGUGUGUCAAGCUUUGACCACGUGUAUUCACCUGUACACACGUUCCAGAAGGGGAGCGCUGAGCCACGAAUUACACUGAUGUUGAUGAUGGUUAGAGAGCCUCACAGUAUCCUGGGAUUAUUAGGUCAAGAUUGAAAUUACAGAAGAGAGAAGGGAAGAGUAUGUGUGGUAGGCUGUCUCCAAAGCCUGCUGAAGGUGCUGUGAGUUUUUCUGCCACUUCAGAACUGACGAUAUAGGUCCUGGUUGUUGGGAGGAUAGAGAGGGGAGGAGACAGUACUGUAAUUGCUUGAAUGAGUGGAUGCAGUGAAUGUCUGCUGGAGGGGAAGGUGAUUAUACCUCACGAUAAUGAGUUUACCAGUAUGAAUUUCAUGAAACAAAGUUUUCCGUCAGUUGCUAUGACAUGCUUUUGUUUUAUACAGAGUUAUUUGUGCUUGGAAAAGUAUCACUUCACAGCCAGAAUGAAUGUGAGAAGCAAUCCAGGAUCCCACCCAUUCUUUCUUUGCUCCUUGUAGACCUGCUUCAUCUUGCCUAAGGACAUAAUCCACGCAGCAUUUUCAACCCACUCCUUCAAGGAGGCUGCCUAAACAGCACCGGUUUUCUGCAUACUGUUUUGCGUUUAUGUUGUAUUCUGGUCCUCUGAAGCUCUGACCACUUAAAGCUGUCACCCACAUGACCUCAGUACCCGAAUUCACCGGCCUUUUUCUCGUAGUCUUCGCUGCUAUCCCACUGCACCCAUCCAUGGUGGAUGCGAUAUAAGCCCUGGUUGAACAUACUGAACUGAUCUCCUCACUCCGCUCUCCAUCUUACAUCUACUUAAAAAUACAAUUCACAAUCCAUACUUUGCAUCAUUUAGGGCUUUAGAAUUUAGACUUCUUGUUGAUCCUUUUAAAGCCGUCGCAUAAUUUAGCUUUUCCCUGUUUACUAUGUUACAGCCACUCUUUCUGUUUACAAACGGUGCUAGAUUUGCUGCUUGUCUGGGUUGCUUCUCCUCAGCAACAUUUUUUUUGCUAUCCCCACACUUCACCCUUUGACGUAGAGAAGUCGUGAGCUAGCAGAGGAAGAUUACAUAAGCUUUCUUCUGCCCGGUCUCUUGAAAGCCAUUGUUACCUAAUUAUUAAAAAUGGAUAAACUUAAUUUGGGCUUGGAAAGCUAUGGAACAAGCUGAGCAAAAAACAGUAAUCACCCUGACUGCUUCAUUUCCUUGCGGUUGUCUGGCGCUCAUUUCUUUAGGUUGGUGUCUGCUGACAUGCUUCAGUUUGUCUGUAGAUCAGCCUCUUUUAAUAAUUAAAAAAAGACUCUAAAACAUUACAGGUGAAGUAAUUCUGGGGGAAAAAAUAGUGAUAAAAUGGGACUAGUAUAACAUGCAAUUCAGGAUGCUGUAUUCAGCGUCCUUCUCUUGAGACCAUGGAGCUGAUGGCUAAGGAUGGAGAUUUCUCAUAUUGUUAUUUUUGAGGUAGCUAUUGGGUGUGAAAAUUUACUUUCUUGUUUUCACUAAGUCUUUUUUAUUUUUUUCAACUUUCUGAACACACUGUCUGGGGUUGGGGAAGGAGGUGAGUGUUAUGAAGCUGUGUAUUUGCAGUGAGGCUUUUUGAAGCUUAGAAAUAGACAUUUGUUGUAGCAAUCAUUUCUAAAACCAAGUACCAGUGGCCCUUCAGGAAUGUGUGCAUGGCUCCAUAAAAUGUAUCCAGUCAUCCUGGGGUUCCUGGACUGAGCAGUUUACAGUCUCAGAGGUGUACUUGGACUGUAAAAUCGCACUCCAACAAAAUAACUCACUUCGACCACUUGUUUUCUUCUUUCUUUUUUACUUUUAUUUUUUCUUUUCCUUAACAGUCAAAUUGUACAACGUGACUUGGUGUAUCUGCUGAACUUUGACUUUUUAUUCAUGAAGCUUCUCAUUAUAUCUGUCUGCUACCUCUUAUAUGCUCAUAGUUUGCUUAGGCCUUGAUCCAGCAGACCACUUAAUUGCUCAACUGUAAAUGCUUGAAGUCAAGAGAACUGCUUAAAAUGUGUGUGGUGUGUUGGACUGGGGCCUUAGACAGCUCUAUCUUAAGGUCAGAGAACUUUGCUUCCUUGUUUGUUAAGCACUUACCAUACUUGCAGUACAUUAGAAGUAUCGAUGGUAAUUAUGGCAGUGGGAGCAAGAAAGCAAUGAGGAGAUCAAGGAAACGUAGCAAUGUUUACAGUCUUGUUUAUUGCCAGUUCAGUCUCUUUCUUUGUUAAAUGGAUUUGCAAAUAAAAGAUUAUUCCUUUUCCUUUCCCAAGAAAAAAGUCUUGUGAUGGAAGGAAUAGGUAGUGCAUUAAAACGCAACAUUUCGUGCACUGACAGAAAGCCAUGCAUGAAAGGUACUUGAGGACAGGAAACUCCUUCUGGACCUUAAGCAAGGUUUGAAAA